rnacentral:SRP_RNA from 1 species
CUGUGCUAGGUGGGGAGCUAGCGGUGCCCUGUACCCGCAAUCCGCUACAGCGGGACCGAACUCCCACCGGAGGUCCCUUGGGACUGGUGCUAACGCUCCGGUAAGCGGUGUUGAAGGCUGGGUCCCACGCAACGGAAAUUUGUGAACCCCGUCAGGUCCGGGAGGAAGCAGCGGUAAGCAAAACCUUUCGUGUGCCGUGGAGCAACCUGGUUGGAGCUGGCUGCAGGGGUGGAGCCCGAUUCGGGGGGUCAAUGGUGGGUGCACAG